GGGCUCGUAGCUCAGUUUGGCAGAGCAAUUGGCUCUUAACCAAUGGGUCGAGGGUUCAAAUCCCUCCGAGCCCG
rnacentral:tRNA from 1 species